rnacentral:tRNA from 9 species
GGGCCCGUAGUUCACCGGCAGAAUAAGUCAAUGGCAUUGACUAGAAAGGGGUUCAAUUCCCCUCGGGUCCACCC